rnacentral:rRNA from 1 species
ACAUGCAAGUCGAACGAGAUUGUUUAAUUUGACGCUUCGGUUGAUUUUUAAACAUGAGAGUGGCAAACGGGUGCGUAACACGUGAACAACCUACCGUAAAGUUUGGGAUAGCUCGAGGAAACUCGAAUUAAUACCGGAUGUGGUUAAGAAACUCAUGUUUCUGAUACUAAAGCUUGUAAUGGCGCUUUAUGAGGGGUUCGCGGCCUAUCAGCUUGUUGGUGAGGUAACGGCUCACCAAGGCAACGAUGGGUAGGGGGCCUGAGAGGGUGACCCCCCACACUGGUACUGAGACACGGACCAGACUCCUACGGGAGGCAGCAGUGAGGAAUAUUGGGCAAUGGAGGCAACUCUGACCCAGCCAUGCCGCGUGAAGGAUGACUGCCCUAUGGGUUGUAAACUUCUUUUAUAUGGGAAGAAACUUAUCCACGUGUAGAUAACUGACGGUACCAUACGAAUAAGGAUCGGCUAACUCCGUGCCAGCAGCCGCGGUAAUACGGAGGAUCCAAGCGUUAUCCGGAUUCAUUGGGUUUAAAGGGUCCGUAGGCGGGUCUUUAAGUCAGUGGUGAAAGCCGACAGCUCAACUGUCGAACUGCCAUUGAUACUGGAGACCUUGAGUACAAAUGAAGUAGGCGGAAUGAGUCAUGUAGCGG